rnacentral:rRNA from 1 species
AUUGAACGCUGGCGGCAGGCCUAACACAUGCAAGUCGAACGAGUGGCGGACGGGUGAGUAAUGUCUGGGAAUCUGCCCGAUGGAGGGGGAUAACUACUGGAAACGGUAGCUAAUACCGCAUACCAUCAGAUGUGCCCAUAUGGGAUUAGCUUGUUGGUGGGGUAACGGCUCACCAAGGCGACGAUCCCUAGCUGGUCUGAGAGGAUGACCAGCCACACUGGAACUGAGACACGGUCCAGACUCCUACGGGAGGCAGCAGUGGGGAAUAUUGCACAAUGGGCGCAAGCCUGAGACAGCCAUGCCGCGUGUAUGAAGAAGGCCUUCGGGUUGUAAAGUACUUUCAGCGGGGAGGCGUUACCCGCAGAAGAAGCACCGGCUAACUCCGUGCCAGCAGCCGCGGUAAUAC